rnacentral:rRNA from 1 species
AUGGGGACAAGCAACAUGGGCAAUGAAGGGAGCUCAGCCGCAAGCAACGAUGACAGCACGGUGGAUGAGGAAGGCGGCCAGGACAUGACCAGGGCCGGCGACUCGUCAUCGUCGGUGCGCCCCUACGUUCAUUCCAAGAAUCCCCGCCUCCGCUGGACGGCGGAGCUCCACCACUGCUUCGUCCGCGGCCGCGCCAUCGAAAGGCUCGGCGGCCAAGAUUGUGCAACUCCUAAGCUCGUCCUUCAGUUGAUGAAUGUUAGAGGGCUUAGCAUAGGCCAUGUCAAGAGCCAUCUCCAGAUGUACAGGAGCAAGAAGAUUGACGACUCCGGCAUGGUCAUCAUAGGUCACUUGCAACAGGGAGGACAAGUCUAUAACUACGCUCAUCUCCUCCAUCAUCGUGUCAGUGGUGCUGGUACAAUGCUCUCUAGGUUUGGCACUACACCAUGUCCUCCAUGGAGGAGGAGGAGCUGGCAUGAACCAUACUGGCUCCAUGGCCACCGUUUACUUGGAUCAAAACCCAACUAUUCAUCAUCAGCAGCAGCUCACCAUGACGAGGCUCUCCAUAGAGCACGUGCUCAACAUGUAUCUGGCUAUAACCCAGCUUUGAUAGUCCAAGAACCCUGUUCAUCAAGAAAUGAUCAUCAUGCCAUGAACCGCUACAACUAUGAAAGACGGCCACUGCAAGCUGCUAACGAUGAUCAUAUCCAUGGUCGUGAUAUAAACCUGGAUCUCUCGCUCGAUAUCGGUGGUGGACAGCGGCUAGAGAUGAAGAGCAAGAGAGGCUGCACGAGAUGGGGGAAACAAGCAGAAGAAGAUGAUGACCAUCAGGUUGAUGUCAAUGAAGAAUUGAAGAGCACUCCUACUAGACUGUCUCUAUCCCUAUUCUCUCCUAGUCCUAGUACUCUUGAUCGAAAGGGGAGUAGUGCUAGUGAUCAUGCACUAGGUCUAGAUGUCAAUGUGGAUAAGAUAGGGAAAGUGCAAUAUGCAAUCAGGGCAAGCACUCUUGAUCUCACCAUAUGA